CACAAAGGGGUUCAUAGUUUCCCAAAAACCCUCUCACGAACCAUUGCAUGUUUUCAGUUUUCUCGCUCAGUGCUUUCAAUCGGUGCUCACAAUCAUUAUUUCCUUUGAAAUCAAGAAUAAAAAAAAUCAUUCUCCAAAACAAUCUCUUCCUCUCUCUCUUUCUCUAUCUCUAGAUCGUGAUUUGUUCUCCUUGGAAUCUUUCUCAAUCUCAAUCUAAUUCAAGGAAGAAGAGUUGCAUUAUUCGAAUCUGAUCGUAGUGUGCGUGAGUGAUUGAAUCGGAAUUGCGAUGAGAAGGGAAAAAUUCAAGAGCAAACCCACCGGUCGCCACCAGUUCUCCACGCCGGAAGAUCUCCGUAAGCAUUGCAUGCUCUCACUCUCACUUUCACUCUCAGUGCUAUGAAUCUCUCAGUCUUGCUCUGUCUCCAUCUCAAUCUCUGAAUACUUUGAAUCUUUGGAUUUCAUUCUGCCUCCUCAGUUGCUUUCUACUUGUCUUCUCUCCUAGAAUUGAGCUAUUUUGGCCAAUAAAAUAAUCAGAGGUGGUUGCUCUUCCACACCUGAGGCUGAGGUUGAAGAAUCUACCGUCAAGACUUCCAAUCUUUUUAUCCUCUGGCAGGUAAUUCCAUUAUUUCUUUCUCUCUCGUUUUUCUUUUUCAAUUAUUUUAAAUUAAUUCAAUUUCUGUGUGAUUUGUUUUAAUGAAU